AAGUCGUAACAAGGUUUCCGUAGGUGAACCUGCGGAAGGAUCAUUACCAAAAGGCGAGAAAUCGCUUUUGCUACCUGCUCAGUGACCCUCUGGGCCGCUGACUGGUCAACCCUUUGUGAACCAAAAACCCUUUCGCUUCGGCAGCUGGGCCUCAUGGCCUGUCAGCCUGCCGUUAGCACCUUUACAAAACAACUUGUUUGUCAAAACAUUGUCUGAUAACCAAAGUUUCGAAUGAAAAUCAAAACUUUCAACAACGGAUCUCUUGGUUCCC
rnacentral:misc_RNA from 1 species